UACGGGGGGGGGCAAGCGUUGUUCGGAAUUACUGGGCGUAAAGGGCGCGUAGGCGGCCUGCUAAGUCGGAUGUGAAAUCCCUCGGCUCAACCGAGGAACUGCAUCCGAUACUGGCGGGCUUGAAUCCGGGAGAGGGAUGUGGAAUUCCAGGUGUAGCGGUGAAAUGCGUAGAUAUCUGGAGGAACACCGGUGGCGAAGGCGGCAUCCUGGACUACUACUGACGCUGAGGGAGCGAAAGCCAGGGGAGCAAAGCGGG
rnacentral:rRNA from 1 species